UGUGGACAAACGCAAGCUCCUGAUCUGCCCUUAAUUGGGUGUAUCAGCUGUAAGUUUGCGGACGUACCUUGAACAAAUCGGCUUGUUCAAAGUAGGCCUAGUGCCUGGACAUUCUAGCAUGGAAUGUUCGAUCGAGACCUGAUCGUUUGGUCGGAAACGAGUAAGGUCC
rnacentral:rRNA from 1 species